GCUGGUUUGGUGGUGGCUGCUCUCUAGCCUUAGAGAGAGGAAAGUCCGAGCUACAAAGACAGGAUUCCAUUUAACAAAUGGCUAGGGCGACCUAAGGGAAAGUGCAACAGAAAAGAACCGCCAAAAGUGGAUUCUAGUCCCUAGAAUCCACUUUUGGUAAGGGUGAAAAGGUGGGGUAAGAGCCCACCGGAUUCUAAGUAAUUAGACUCGCUAUGCAAACCCAAUCCGUAGCAAAAAGAGCGUGGUAAAUGUCUUAAUCUUUGCUCUUUGCUUGAGGUAUAUUGUGAAAUAUAUCCCAGAUAAAUAGCCACCCUUGACAGAACUCGGCUUAUACUAAGCCAGCCUUA
rnacentral:RNase_P_RNA from 2 species